UGGCUAGGCUGGCGAACUCCAGGGACUUGUCUCUGCCUCCCCAGUGCUGGAAUUACAGACGCACCACUGGAUGUAACACUGAGCAGCCUCUAUAUAUACUCCUGCUGCUAUGAUGUUCUGUUUGGCCUCAGCACAGGUUCAGAGUCAACAAAGCCCAGGACAGUGCACUGGAAUGUCUUAGACUGUGGGCUGAAACACAGCUUUAAAAUAGACUUAUCAGGUAUUUCAUUAUAACAACAAUAGCAACAUAACUUUUGCUGCAUGUAACCAAAAUCCAGAUUCCUGAAUUAUCAAAGCUAAUAUUUGUUCUACAUGUCAGGUCAAGGGCAAUUUUCUUUAUUUGUUUUGACAAAACAAAGCCCUCUGUACUUCCCACAUGCUCAGUGAAUGGGUUUAGUGUUUAGUCACCUAGUCUUUGCUACUUAGACAGUAGGUGUUUAGGGACAUUUAAAGCUACCAGAUCAAAAUCUACCUGAAGUUAAUGCCCAAAGUGUCCCAAUGUCUUGAGUCACAGCAUUCGCCCUACUACUAAGAUGUUUUGAAUUAAGUUUUCUGGGGUUUUCAAGUUAAGGGAGCCAUUGCAUUACAAGCAGUGUUUGGACAAAGGCAACACCUGCCUUCUGCUGGCUGUGAGAUGUGGGGUGGACUUGAUCUUCGAAUCAUCUAAAACUCUCAGCCACUUCUUCCCUCCCUUGGUGAUAAGAACACCCUCAGCAACUCAUUUAUAGUUUACAAAGAACUGGUAUCUCCUGUCUCGUUUAAACCCACCAACAACCCUGAGAUGUGUGUAGAUUGUUUCCAUUUUCUACAAGAGAGAACAGAGGCUCAGGGAGACCUGCCUGCCAGAGACCACACAGCAAGGAAAAGAUAAAGAUGGCAAGAAGAGCCAAUCUUCAUCACUUUUGGGAACCUACAUGCCUGUUGUGGGCUCUCUGCACCGCUAGUGGCAGAUCUUAAAGCUGCUUUGGUGACUCUCCCUUGGACUUGACCUGUGGCUUUGAGGACUGGCACCUCCUGGAGAGGACUUCAGAACAUUUCCAGUGCUGGGGAAUAAAUAAGGGUCUACCAUUGGCCCAGCAAGGCCUGCAUCACUGAGCUACAACUUCAGCCUCAAGAUGAAUGCUCAGGCCUGUGACUUUGCUAGAAAUGCUGGGGGUUCCUGAGGAGUGCGACAUGGGCAGCAUUGGAAGGGUUCCCCAGGCCUGAAGGGAGAGUCCUACCUGUGAUCUUACUCCCAAAGGAAGCUUAGAGGGGAAGAUUGGCAGUGAAUGCUGGGAAACUCCUGGGAGGCGUGGCCUGGUACUAGGCUGUGACCACACUAAAGAAGGGGUAGUUGUGGGUGAUAAAAUUAGCCCCUCCUCAAAA